rnacentral:rRNA from 1 species
CCUACGGGAGGCAGCAGUGAGGAAUUUUGGGCAAUGGGCGAAAGCCUGACCCAGCGACACCGCGUGGGGGAAGAAGGCCUUCGGGUCGUAAACCGCUGUCAGGGGGAACGAAUAAUGACGGUACCCCCAAAGGAAGCCUCGGCUAACUACGUGCCAGCAGCCGCGGUAAAACGUAGGAGGCAAGCGUUAUCCGGAAUCACUGGGCGUAAAGCGUUCGUAGGCGGCUUCAUAAGUCGGGGGUGAAAUCCCCGAGAUCAACUGGGGAACUGCCCCCGAUACUAGGGGGCUAGAGCACGUCAGGGGGCGAUGGAAUUCCCGGUGUAGCGGUAAAAUGCGUAGAUAUCGGGAGGAACACCAGUGGCGAAGGCGGUCGCCUGGGGCGUUGCUGACGCUGAGGAACGAGAGCCAGGGGAGCGAACGGGAUUAGAUACCC